CAAUGGUUCAUAGCCAUUAACCAAGCUUUCUCGAAGUUCCCAUCUACGACGCUCUCUUUCAGUUUUCUGUUUCCUAAUUGCUUUACCUAAUAUGCAAGCAAACAUUAUUCCAGUGAACUGAAAAUAAUAAUAUACAAUUAAUUUUCACGUACAGAUAAGUAAAAGAUGUAAUUUGUUAUACAGCAAGAAAUAAAAAAUCUACAUAUAUUUACCUGAAUAAGAGCGAUGGCCACAGCACCAGUACCAAUGUAAAGUACACUUCUGUGAAUGAGAACCGAAAGGUUUCUAACACAUCCUAUUCCGUAGACAUUACAUCCAUCGCCAGUAACAUAAUCACAUGGUAUGUUGUCACUAAAUAUUCCGUGAGGACGACAAGAUUCUGGUAAACGAUCUCCUGUCUCUUUCAUAAUUUCAUCCCAAUCGUGAUAGUCAUUGUAUCCGCAACAAUAAAGCUAUAAUUACCAGAAAAAAAAUUUAUUUAAUGAUUUUACGAUUAUGUAUAAUGUUCAUAGAAAGGUAGUGAUAGUUGUGAUAGAUAUCACAAAAUGCCUUAUUGGCUGAGAUAAAUGCAUUAUGUUAGAACAGGCUCCAAUUAAUAUUACAAACGUUAAAAAUUUGAUGUAUAUUCUGUACAUGGUAAAAAUACAAGCUACCUAUGUACUCCU